GAUGAACGCUGGCGGCGUGCCUAAUACAUGCAAGUCGAGCGAACGGACGAGAAGCUUGCUUUUCUGAUGUUAGCGGCGGACGGGUGAGUAACACGUGUAUAACCUACCUAUAAGACUGGGAUAACUUCGGGAAACCGGAGCUAAUACCGUAUAAUAUUUUGAAGCGCAUGGUUCAAAAGUGAAUUACGGUCUUGCUGGCACUUAUAGAUGGAUCCGCGCUGCAUUAUCUAGUUGGUAAGGUAACGGCUUACCAAGGCAACGAUGCAUAGCCGACCUGAGAGGGUGAUCGGCCACACUGGAACUGAGCCACGGUCAAGACUCCUACGGGAGGCAGCAGUAGGGAAUCUUCCGCAAUGGGCGAAAGCCUGACGGAGCAACGCCGCGUGAGUGAUGAAGGUCUUCGGAUCGUAAAACUCUGUUAUUAGGGAAGAACAUAUGUGUAAGUAACUGUGCACAUCUUGACGGUAACUAAUCAGAAAGCCACGGCUAACUACGUG
rnacentral:rRNA from 1 species